rnacentral:misc_RNA from 1 species
AAAAAUGUUUGGUCUCGUGCCAAAUCAACACCUGUGUGCACUAUUGUCUGUAUUUGGUAGUCUAGGAGGGGCGACCCACAAGGGCCUGCCCAUAUACUCCGUGACCCAGUCAACUUUUAGUUGGUUGGUGUCGGGCUACCGCCAUUUUGAAAAACCUUUUGUUUGUUUUGUUUUUGUCUGAACGAAGAGUUAAUCUUCAUUGAUUAAUGAUUUGAAUA